GAUGAAGAACGCAGCGAAAUGCGAUAAGUAGUGUGAAUUGCAGAAUUCAGUGAAUCAUCGAAUCUUUGAACGCACAUUGCGCCUUCUAGUAUUCUGGGAGGCAUGCCUGUUCGAGCGUCAUUACGCCCCUCAAGUCCCCUGUGGACUUGGUGUUGGGGAUCGGCGAGGCUGGUUUUCCAGCACAGCCGUCCCUUAAAUUAAUUGGCGGUCUCGCCGUGGCCCUCCUCUGCGCAGUAGUAAAACACUCGCAACAGGAGCCCGGCGCGGUCCACUGCCGUAAAACCCCCCAACUUUUUAUAGUUGACCUCGAAUCAGGUAGGACUACCCGCUGAACUUAAGCAUAUCAAUAAGCGGAGGA
rnacentral:misc_RNA from 1 species